ACCCUACGAAAGCGGAUGGAAUUGCAACAAGAACUGUAUGUAUCAGGUCUGCCAUAUCUUGCUGUGAAUCAAGUUUUACCAUUCAAAUGAAGAACUGCACAUCUUUUAUCAGCUUUAAUUUGACUGGCAUAUCUGCAUGUUCUCAACGAUAUUGCUUUGGAGACUACCAUUGUGACAUAUCAACUACAACAGCUGACACUACCAGCACAGGGAUAAUUCAAUCAACUAACAGAAAUGAGGGAGUAGCCGUGUUAAAACAGAAAAAUAGCUUAAAGGAAGAAAUAGCAAUCCCAGUGGCUAUUGGAACUGCAAUAGUUGUAGCUGGUAUAGUUGGUGUAAUUCUAUUUUAUCGAUACAGUCGUUAUA